rnacentral:rRNA from 1 species
CCUACGGGAGGCAGCAGUAGGGAAUAUUGCUCAAUGAGGGAAACCCUGAAGCAGCAACGCCGCGUGGAGGAUGAAGGUUUUCGGAUUGUAAACUCCUUUUGUUAGAGAAGAUAAUGACGGUAUCUAACGAAUAAGCACCGGCUAACUCCGUGCCAGCAGCCGCGGUAAUACGGAGGGUGCAAGCGUUACUCGGAAUCACUGGGCGUAAAGAGCGCGUAGGCGGGAUAGCAAGUCAGAUGUGAAAUCCUAUGGCUUAACCAUAGAACUGCAUUUGAAACUGUUAUUCUAGAGUAUGGGAGAGGUAGGUGGAAGUCUUGGUGUAGGGGUGAAAUGCGUAGAGAUCAAGAGGAAUACUCAUUGCGAAGGCGACCUGCUAGAACAUAACUGACGCUGAUGCGCGAAAGCGUGGGGAGCAAACAGGAUUAGAUACCCCGGUAGUC